AUUGAACGCUGGCGGCAUGCUUUACACAUGCAAGUCGAACGGCAGCGCGGGUUUCGGCCUGGCGGCGAAUGGCGAACGGGUGAGUAAUACAUCGGAACGUGCCCACUAGUGGGGGAUAGCUCGGCGAAAGCCGGAUUAAUACCGCAUACGACCUGAGGGUGAAAGCGGGGGAUCUUCGGACCUCGCGCUAUUGGAGCGGCCGAUGGCAGAUUAGCUAGUUGGUGGGGUAAAGGCCUACCAAGGCGACGAUCUGGAGCUGGUCUGAGAGGACGACCAGCCACACUGGGACUGAGACACGGCCCAGACUCCUACGGGAGGCAGCAGUGGGGAAUUUUGGACAAGGGGCGAAAGCCUGAUCCAGCAAUGCCGCGUGUGUGAUGAAGGCCUUCGGGUUGUAAAGCACUUUUGGCGGGAACGAAAAGGACUGUGCCAAUACCACGGUUCGAUGACGGUACCCGCAGAAUAAGCACCGGCUAACUACGUG
rnacentral:rRNA from 1 species